rnacentral:rRNA from 1 species
UGCAGUCGAGCGAACAGAUAAGGAGCUUGCUCCUUUGACGUUAGCGGCGGACSGGUGAGUAACACGUGGAUAACCUACCUAUAAGACUGGGAUAACUUCGGGAAACCGGAGCUAAUACCGGAUAACAUAUUGAACCGCAUGGUUCAAUAGUGAAAGGCGGCUUUGCUGUCACUUAUAGAUGGAUCCGCGCCGUAUUAGCUAGUUGGUAAGGUAACGGCUUACCAAGGCAACGAUACGUAGCCGACCUGAGAGGGUGAUCGGCCACACUGGAACUGAGACACGGUCCAGACUCCUACGGGAGGCAGCAGUAGGGAAUCUUCCGCAAUGGGCGAAAGCCUGACGGAGCAACGCCGCGUGAGUGAUGAAGGUCUUCGGAUCGUAAAACUCUGUUAUCAGGGAAGAACAAAUGUGUAAGUAACUGUGCACAUCUUGACGGUACCUGAUCAGAAAGCCACGGCUAACUACGUGCCAGCAGCCGCGGUAAUACGUAGGUGGCAAGCGUUAUCCGGAAUUAUUGGGCGUAAAGCGCGCGUAGGCGGUUUUUUAAGUCUGAUGUGAAAGCCCACGGCUCAACCGUGGAGGGUCAUUGGAAACUGGAAAACUUGAGUGCAGAAGAGGAAAGUGGAAUUCCAUGUGUAGCGGUGAAAUGCGCAGAGAUAUGGAGGAACACCAGUGGCGAAGGCGACUUUCUGGUCUGUAACUGACGCUGAUGUGCGAAAGCGUGGGGAUCAAACAGGAUUAGAUACCCUGGUAGUCCACGCCGUAAACGAUGAGUGCUAAGUGUUAGGGGGUUUCCGCCCCUUAGUGCUGCAGCUAACGCAUUAAGCACUCCGCCUGGGGAGUACGACCGCAAGGUUGAAACUCAAAGGAAUUGACGGGGACCCGCACAAGCGGUGGAG